rnacentral:rRNA from 1 species
UACGUAGGGCGCAAGCGUUGUCCGGAAUACUGGGCGUAAAGCGUGCGCAGGCGGUAAGUUAAGUCUGAUGUGAAAGCCCCGGGCUCAACCUGGGAAUGGCAUUGGAAACUGGCUUGCUAGAGUGUGGCAGAGGGGGUGGAAUUCCGCGUGUAGCAGUGAAGUGCGUAGAGAUGCGGAGGAACACCGAUGGCGAAGGCAAUCCCCUGGGCCUGCACUGACGCUCAUGCACGAAAGCGUGGGGAGCAAACAGG